UGGUAGAUAUGUUUUCAUCAACCGCGAGUUCCCGCAACACAACCUUUACUGUGCACCUCUAUUUGCCACAAAAGUACCAAAAUAACCCUCCUCUCUCCCGUCAAGUACAUCCAGUGAAGCUGCCUAAACACCGCCAUGCAGCUGUGAAGAGGUUUGGAGGUUUUAUGAACGACACCAACAUCCCUGGACAAGUUUUGGCGUUGAAGAAAAGCCUCGAGGGCACCCCCUGGGAAUCAUCCAUAGCAAGGACACAAAGCAGGGGUCGUGUGCCUUGCAGUGUUGCUGGCUACAACUCGCCCUACGAAUAUGAGAAUCGUGCAAAUGAAGUCAUGUUUUGGUUUGAUUAAUGGUGACCAAUCAUUUGUACAAACAGUUCUGUAAUGGAGGAAAAAGCAAGAAAAGAAAUAAGCCAUCUUUAUCAAAGGAUAUGCUACCCAAUUGCUUAAGAUUUCCUUUUCCUUGUGCACAAUCGUGCUCCCCUUUUCUUUAAUCACGCACUUGAUUUACGAGCCUGGAUAGGUCCCGAGUGGCAGACAAAAACCAAUAGACCUUGCAAAACUAGUUCAAGUGACUGAUUUGUUCUUACCCACUGAAAAAAACUGGUUCGUACCAGGCUUGGCUAUUGGCACUACAAGGGCGGAAAGCAGGAUCACCUAGCAUUUCAAACAUAGGAUUCAAUAAACUAGAUUUUACAGACUUCAAGGAACUAAUUAUGAGUGUGGUGAAAGCACAGAAAAUAUAUAGUUUUAUCAAACAGGAAGGAAAUGAUAUUAGUUGCUCUGUUCUUCAUUAAAUUCUACCAAAUAUAUCCUGUGAGUUUCUGAGAUUGGGUUUAAAAGCAAAUUACUAGCACUAUCAUAUAGCCCUGUGGAGAAGAAGUGGGGGGGCAUAAAAUGUAGUACAAUUAACAAAAUCGUCCCCUCCGAUGAGUUACCAUUCCUUGAUAAUCGCCAAAGGGUGACAAGAAACGAGAUAUCCACCAGAUAAUUUCAUUAAUUUGACAUGUCUCAGCUAUUCAAACACAUCAAGCCCAAAGAAGUUCUUGUAUAUAAUAAGCAUCCUGUACAAAUUAAAAUCUAGCAAUGGCUUUAUGUAUUUGUUUUUCAAUAGAAACGUGUACAUAAGCUGUAAUCUAAUUUUAUAACCUCCGUUUUACCUAAUACAAGCGCCGCCGACACUCAUCGGUGCCACAGUAGCAUGGUGACUGUUUUAGUUUCCCAUCAGGACCAACAACACUAUCAAGUGUGUAACCAUAGUCAUAUGGAAGUUCCUGUUUGCAACAUAGCAAAACCAUUUUUCAUUAUAAAUUUGCUGUUGAUGCCUGGAAUUUAAUAUUUCACAUUAAAAGGAAAGGAAGCCCAAGUUAUAACAUCAAGCACAAGAGAUAACUAUUUAUUAGAAUGCCAGGUUAGCAUGAAAACAAAAAGAAGCUUAUAAAGAUAUCAGAAUAAAAAAGCCCCUUUCUUUUUCUGGUUUGAUGCUGCUUGUUUUCCAAGUAUGCUGGUAAUCACUUGUGCUUGGAUUCGACUGAGAUUUUGUGCAGAAAUUUGGCCAUAGAGGCAACAAAACCCAUAUUUGUAGGUUGGUCACACUAACAGUGAGCUUAAAGAAUUUUUUUCACCCAGUUGAGAGAAACCCUAUUUCAUUGAUGAUAACGCUCAAUUCAUUUGAAACGAUGUUUCAGCUGUUGAAAAUUUCACUUCGUCACUCUAUUGGGUGUUAUUUCCUUUUCCUUAGAGUAAUUUUAUCACCUUUAGUUCAGAUUAUGUUUAUUCUAAUGCUAUCACCUUUAGUUCAGCUUAUAUUAGGGUAAAGAGUACUUUAAUCACGAUGUUCUUGAGCAAUACCAAAGAGCAGCACAUUACAUAGUCAAGAUUGCUUAUCACGUUAAUUCUAUAUUUGGUUGAUUCAAUAACUCUUACUGGUUGAUAGAUAAGCAGUGGGAGCACAAACAGAAUCAUAAAAGUUUUCUCAUAGAUAAACACCUUCAACAAACACAGGCAUCAUCUCAAGUACGCAGAAAUUGAAACAUGACCAAUUUUUUCACAAUUUUCACAAAGCAUUACGUUUUUUAAGUGUUCUAAAUUACUUCACAUAGCAAUUCAAGUGUAUGCCAUGAAUUUAAGGAGCAGACAGUAAAUUAAUUUUAUGCCUGAAUCCAGUGCUCCUCAUUGAUGCAUGGACACCUCUCAACUCUUUCAUGUCUAGGACAACGCAUGUAAAGGGAUUUUCCAAUCAUAGAUAUAUAUAAGACUUCGAUAUUUUCUUCAGAAUCGGUUGAUUUGAAGAACACUUAGCAUCAGCGGAUGAACUCCCCUUCUGCAAAGUUUUUAUGGCACUAGCAUAACAAUCACAAAGACCAAGAUCCGCCUCCAGAGAGAGAGAGUGAGGCAGAGACAGAGAGUUUAAAAUGGUGAAAGUGGCCUGGAAAGGAGUUGGCACAUGAUAGCCAUUUUGUUCUGUAUUAAUGGUUUCUCUUCGCCAAAUAAGUUUUCAAAAGGAAAGGCAUAAAUUUUGAAAUAUGAGAUACAAUAUUUCAGGAGAAGCAAAAAUGGACUGUUAUUUAAAUUUUCACCUCAAAGUAUAGCAAUACUUGUGCAGCUUUAGUCAUACAGAUGAUAGUAAUAAUUCUUAAUCAUAAUGAUUCCUGCUUCUUUGUUAAUUCAAACACCUGGCAGUUGUCUCACUGCCUACCUUGAUUCACAAGAUAAAAAACAAAUUUCAACACUGACAUUUUGAUUUGAAAAAUAGGAAAGGAAACAAAGAAUCAAAUAGGUGCGUGAUGAUGUCUAAACCGGAAACACCUUAAUGUAGCACAACCACAACAAAACAGUGUUGUGUUACUAUUUAGCCAAGAGGAGGAAACAAUGAAGAAUAUUUUCUGUAAUUUUAAGGAUUGCUAAAACCAAUACUUCGAACAAAAAAAUAUACAUAAGCAUUCACCUAUUCAUUUCAAUAAAAGAUCCUUAUAAAUGCAAUCACCUGAGAAAAGUUAAGGUGAUGAGAAUUAAAAUUCCUCACUGUCUCCUUCACUGCUGUGCAGGCCUUCUGCUACAAAAUUUUGAUAGUCUGUCCAUUUCAGGAAAGCAGUGUCUUCUAGCUCAAUUUCUGCUUCAUCAACUUUAAAAGGCAAGGAACCAAGGGCCAGACAACUUCUAUCGCACCAAUCUUCUCCGCCUUUUCUAUCUAUAUCAGGUAGUCAUUCUUGCAAUGAAUGAUUCAUGCAGGUUCUUCUCUUGACAGCAUUAUCUCUGGUCGAUUCUAACUGUCUCUUCCUAUUAUAAUCUCUGGUUUCUUUCUUGCACUCAUCAUGUUUAGGAGCAUUUAACUCCCACCUCUGAUCUCCAUCAUAAUAUGGCCUUCUCUCCCUCGGCCCUGUUGACUCUUCUUCAACUUCUUUUUUGCAAAUGUCGAGUUUAGGAGCAUCUAACUCCAUGCUCUGACCAUCAUCAUAACAUGGCCUUUUCUCUUGAGGUGUAUUUAUAAGUCCAGGGCUGCAUCUUCUCUCUAGAGGCCCUUUCGACUCGAUGUUUUGAACUCGUUGCACAAUGGUCUUUGUCACAGAAACCUCAAAUGCUUCACUUAAAGGUUCUUCCUUGAGAGAUUCAUAACUGGAAUAUUGCUUUCUUUGCAUGGACUCUCCAUCAAUUAAUCCCAAUAUCAGAAUUCUACAUUUAGAAAAACAAUCUUCGCAUUUUCCAAAUCAAGAAUUAAUAACCAGAAGCCCUGCUUGAUACAAUUUGUGAUUCACAUGUUUGGUCAUAAGAAAUUCUAAGCAUUCAAUCUCUUAUAUAAACAAAAUCAAAGAAAAUGACUUCAAAACUGUUCCAAGAAAAAUAAAAAAAAAGAUCCUAAUGCCAAUUAAUUUCCUAAUGAAAGUUGGAAUUUUCCUUAUAAACAGAUCCUCCUAUUCAGUACAGUACACAUUCACAAACAAAAUCCAAAAGAAAAAAAAAAAUGCACAGAGACAGGCCAAUGCAAGUAAAAAGGAACGUACCAGGAGCAAUUCCAGAGAGAAUGGGAGACAGGGAAGGAGAAUGUGGGGUAAUCCUCAGGAAUAACGUAGGGUUUUUUUAAAAACCAACGUUGGAUUUGGAUUUGAGGAUAUACUACAAGGCAAAAGUACCCGCAGGAAAGUUUACGAAUGAAGAUCACGCGGUUCAAAUUAUAUUUUUUUUUUAAAAGUUAUUUAAAAUUAAUUUUUAUAUAUUUUAAUUUGUUAAUAUUAAGAAUAAAUUUUUAAAAUAAAUAUUAUUAUUUUAAUAUAUUUUCAAGUAAAAAUAUUUUAAACCACAAUUGCUAUUAAAUAAAAUUUUAAUUGAAAACAAAAAUAGUUAUGGUAUUCUUUACUCUUUGUAAAGGUCACAAUGGAUAGUAUUUAUAUUUCUUAUAUAGGAUAAAAUAAUUUUUUUAUUGAAUAAAUAAAUCUAAACUGAUAAAAUCAAACAAACAACUGCAAGCAUUAAUUGUGUUUAUUUAAAUCAUGAUAUCCACUUUAGCAUUGUGAUUUUUUUUAUUUGAAUCUUAAGAUGAAAUAUAAUUUUCUUGCUUCUAGAAGAAUAUUUUGUUUAUUUUUAAUUACGAUGAUUUUGGAACCAUAAUAUUUUUUUGUAGAAAAUUAUUUAUAAAAAUAAUUAGUGCUAUAUUUACAAAUAAUUCAAAAAAAAUGUAGAUAAUUUAAGGAUUAAAUCACUAAAAGUACAUGAAAAAUAACAUCUUAAGAUUGUAUAGAAUUAGGAGGUACUUUGAAUAAAUAAGAAAAAUAUUUGAAAAAAACAAAAAUAUUUUAUACACACACACACACGCUAAAAAACAAAAUAAACACCUCAAGAUUGUCCCAGCAACCUUCAAGAAUUCAUUUUCAUCCUAAGAAAGUCAUUUUAACUUUAAAAAAUCAAAUUAUAUUUAAAAACUCAAUUAUAUUUUUGGUUUUUGAUCUCCUUUAUCCGGCUAUUUGAAUACCAAGAACAACCAUUAUUAAAUUUCUCAUGUCAAGUCCAAUAUAUUGACACAAAAAUAGGUUUUUUUACAAUGCUCGUCGGAGUUUUUUUUAUUUUCCUCUCCUCUCUCCUCUAUUAACCGUCAAAGAUAAAGUAUAAUGAAAAUAAAAUAUAAAACUAAAAUGUAACAAAUUAAAUAUAUACGAACCAAAAUGUAGGGUCGAGUCCUCAACCUUUGACGUCCCUUUAACAUUAAACAACUACAAUAAUGAACAAUAAUUAAACACCGAGCGGUUUUAGUUUAUUAGUAAUAAUAAAAAAAUAGUAAAGUAAAUUAGUAAUUUAGGCUCUCCUAUUUUGUUUUUCUCUAGAUACUGGGCCCUUGUUUGUCACAGAAAAAGAAAACUUGUCUAUCCCCGUGGCCAAGAAGGGUUAAAGAGCUAAAGCCCUAACCCACCCAUCAGCUGGAAACGAGAAGAAAAGGCAAUUCAUUUUUUCAUAAUUAAAAAACGUAAAUACAUAUAAUUUUCAGAGGGAAGAGUAUUAUCUACAAGGUGUUUGAUUCAGCGGCAUCCAUCGACGGGGAAAAAAAUACACAAGGGCAUCCUGUGUUCAAAUCUCAUAUUUUACCCAUAUAAAAAAAAAAAACAAAAGAGAGAAUUGUAUUUAUAUAUAACUCGACCAUAAAAAUAAUCCCAGUCAGUCAAAUAUUAUAUAGUUAUGCAAAUAUAUAUUUAUAUUGCAGAGCAUCAUUGACUAGCAAAAACAUUAAAAAAGCUGCAUGAUUCAAGAGAGAAGCCAAUCAGAAGCAGGGAAGUUCCCAAAAUCAACGGCUAAUGGUACAUGGUAAUUUGAAAGAACCAAUGAUAAUAGCCCUGGAUUAAAAAAGCAAGAAAAAACUGUAUUGGGACAGGAGUUAACAGAGCUUAGAUAAAUAAAAUAUCACACGUGAAAGUAAAUAUAGGAGAGAAUCUCAUAGGGUGGCUAUUCAAGACGAGUGCUAAACAAUGUAUCGCCACGCACAUGCUUCCCUCUCCAAUCAUUAACAAAAAAGCUGGUUCGAUUUGAAAAAAUAUUGUUUACUGAUUGAGAAUUUACUAUUUAUUAAAAUAGUAUAAUGAAUAUUUUUUUUUUUUAAUGUAAACCGGUUAUUAAAGGUAAUACAGUAUUUAGUGUUUCUGUAAGAUUCAUUAGUCUUUAUGAUCAUGGAUGAGUUGGUAUUUUUAUAUUUUAAAAGGAUAGUAAAAUGACUAAAUUAUUAUUAAAAAUAUAUUUGUUUAAUUGAUAUUUAGGGUUUUUUUUUAUUUUCAUUCUGAUUUUUUAGUUACAAUCAAGCUAGCUAAAAAAUAUUUCAGUAUUUUAAUAAAUAUAAUUAAAAAUCUAAAAUUGGUUGGUACUAGCAAAGCUCGUACCAUAGAGUGGGGAUGUCAUGGUGUCAUUUGGCAGCCAAAAAUUUUCUUUUGACGUGUUGUUUGAAUUGUCGCGACAUCUCUUUCUUGUUAGGGCGACACAUGGCAUUAGUGGUGGGAUGAUUUACUGUUAGAAAUGUUUUUUUUUUUGUCUUUUCUUUCUCUUCACCUCGAAAUUCACUCCAGCCAUUCAAAAUUUUAGAGUUACCCUCUUAUUUAUUGCAUUUCAAUUUUGAUCUUUAUUCUUUUAUUUCAAUUUUUUUGUUCUUAACCUUUUUGUGAAAUUUUCAUUUGUUUUCAAUUUCAUCAUUCAAUCUUAAUUCAUUAUAUUUUGUUUUUUUCAUUUUGAUUUUUGUUCUUUUGAUUGUUUUCUGGGUUCUUUUAUUAAAUUAAUUUUUCUUUUUAAUUUCACAAUUUAAUAAAAAAAUAUUAGUUAUCCUCUAAUUUAUUUAUUUUAUUACAAUUUUGGUCCUUAUUUUCUUAAUUGCUAUUUUUUGUUUUGGAUCCUUUUGUACAAUUGAUUUUUUUUAAUUUUAUUUUUCAACAUUUGAUUAGUUGGGGACUGAGUUUCAUGGUUUUUUUAGAUGAGGUGCUUCUGAUAUAUGACCAUGUUCACAGGUUUAAAAAGUUAACGCAGGUUGACAUCAUUUUUUAUUUGGACUUAUUUUCUUUUUCGAUUUCAUCAUUGGACAUUGUUUUUUUUAAAUAAACUUUGUGAUUUUUUUCAUUUUCUUUUCUAUCGAUUUAUCUCGAUUUCAUGACCUGGACGUAAGUUUAGCAGUUUAACUCGGGUUGACUCGACUAUUUUAAAAGAAAUUUUAAUCUUUUUCUGGUUUCAUCCUUCAAAAAUUGGUUAUUUUUUAAAUUAAUCUCCAUUUUUUUUCUAUUUAGUCUUUUAUUGGGUUAUCUCACCCUUAUGACCCAAGUUUAGAUUUAUAUAUUAGGUUGAAUCAGAUCUUUUUUUUUUUUAUCUAAUUUCAUCUUUCAUAUUUAAUUGGUAAGGAAUUAAGUUGCAUCGCUUUUUUCAUUUGAAAAAAGAUUUUUUUCUGUGAUUAUUGUUUUUUUUAUUUGGUAUAUUUAUUUUUUAUUAUCUAAUUAAAAUAAAAUUAACUUAAUUAACCCAAUCAAAUCUCUCACUCGAGUUAUUAAUUUUUUUUAUAAAAUGUAUUUAUGUUGUCCGAACAUCAAAAAAUUUCUAAUCUAACCCUGCAAAGUAGCGCAGUUCCAUGGAUCCAGUUCUUUCUAUUUUAAUUUUAAUUUUAAUUAAUUUCUUUAAUCCCCUUCCUCUGGCUGACAGUAAUGUUCCUUGUACUUUAGACAAAGCUACUUGUUGUCCUACCUCUACCACCAGUUUCGUAAAUUCACAAAGGUGCCCAACCUUAUGAAUCAAUUUGUUUCUUUUUUUCCACAAAAAAAACAGGCUGUCUAUUUUAUACGAGGAAGGAGAUGUCUUCCAUUUGGAUAAAGCUUCUGAAACAAUGAAAGUUUAAACAUCAUGUGGUCAAACAGUACGAGAUAAUUACUAGCAUUGGCCAUUUAUUCAAUCUACACAUGCCCACUGAAUUUCAAAGUUUCUACUCGUCGAGUAACAAACGGCUUUGCUUCAUAAGUAGUCUAACACUACAGAUUUGAUUUAAUAAAAUAAAUAGAUUUUUUUCGAAGUAAGCUCUCGGCGCAUUGAAAACGAAAUAUCUGACAUGUUUACUAAAAACAAAUAUUAGGUGAUUCCAAAAUAAGUUAUAAUAAUCAUUUUUAUCAUUUUUAUUAUUAUGUAUGAAAAACCAAGAUUUUAUCAAUAUAAUUUAUAUAUCUUUACCAAUAAAUAUUGGAUCAAGAAAAAUAUAAAAAUAUAAAUUUUUAAAAUUUUUAGAUGUGUUGAGCUGGCUAAUACCAGCACCAAACACAUGUAUCAAUUGAGUCAUAAGAUUACUAGCUGAGCAGCAUGCAUAUUGAAAAGCACGCAAAAUAACCUAAUUUUGGGUGUGAGUAAAGUACACUGGUAUGUUAUUGUUGUUAAUUUGCAUUUUCAAUUUAUUAUUUAUAAUUGACGAAGUUGGAAAUUUUUUAAGAAUCUUGGGUUUUUUUCAUGGUUGAUUGAUGGGCUUUAUAAAUUCAGUCGUCGAAGAAGAUUGCUAAAUUUGGGUCUCGCGAGCACCUGCAAAAUAAGUUUUUCGAUGAGCUCAUGACAUCGAGAAACUUAGGAAGUAAUGUGUGUUUGUAAGGAAGAUGCAUUAGAUAAUGUGAAGUUGAAGGAGAGCGUGUGAGCUCUCUUUCUCCCGGUGUGUGUUUGCUGGCAGAGUUGGUUAGCUUAGAGCUUGUUUUUUAUUUUUUUGAUGUAUAAUGCCAUUUCAGUUAUUUUUUUUAUAUAUAAUCAUGAGUGUCCAGGUUAUUUUAUAUGCAUCUCGACUAAUUUUUUGAGAUAUUAAAGUUAACGACCAUAUAAACUUACAAUGAUUCUAAGAUUUGUGGCACUCGAAAUAGUAAUAUCUAAGAAGUAAACUCAGGGCCCGACCAGUUGAACUACACCUCUCAAAGUUUCAUUCAUGAGUUUUUAUAUACACAUUUGUUAGAGAAUAAUAUAAAUCAUAUCCUGGAACCUUACCUAAUAGCUUAAGCUAUUGGGUUGAGAUGGUUCUUUGAAAUGGUAUCAGAGCCUUAAUGACCAAGCGGUCACGAGUUCGAAUCUCACCAUCCCCAUUAAGUUGAUAAAAAUUAAGCACAAGGUAAUGUGGGCCUGUGCAAGUUUCAAGCCCAGAGGGCUUUCACUUGAGGGGAUGUAUUAGAGUAUAAUAUAAAUCAUAUCCUGGGAACUUACCUAAUAGCUUAAGCUAUUGGGUUGAGAUGGUUCUUUGACAACAUUAAUAUACAUGUUAUAUAAUCAUGCGAAGAUUAUUUUUUUAAUUGUCGAUGGUUGCAAUGUCAUUGUGGAUGGUCAAUCUUCAAUGCGAAAAUAUAUUUUUUCUUUCCUCCUUAAUACCAACACAAUACAUUUGAAAUAAUCAAUAGUUACAGAUUCAAUAAUUGUACUUUAUCAGUAGGUGGGAGAUAGGAUCCUUUUCCACACGGGAAAGAGAGGAGCAGAUGAACGAGUCGAGGUAUCAGAAACAGUGUCAGGUUCAAAAUCCAAACACGCCUACUUCCCCUUUCAGAAAUAAAACAAUAUGUACUUGCAUGCAUAUAGGAGCUGGGCUGUCAUUUUAUGCAAUGGCCAGGCGAGCUAAACUAAGAUCACGCAGUCUGUCCAAGUCUCAAACCGCGCUUCACGCGUGUCAAAAAGAGUGUGAUUGGCUGCUUGUGCGCCAAAUGGGUGACACAAGGACUCAUGGGCGUGGCCAUGUGCACCUAUCUCAUCUCAACACCAUGGCAGGGCACCUGGCUCCAAAACAGGCACUGACUUAUCAUGACAGAUUACACCAUACCUAACCAUUAUCUAGCCAUAGAAAAUUUCCAUUGCUUUACGUUGUCAAUCCGUAAAAUCAGUUCUGGGCUCGCACGUGCCUAGGGGCAUUCUAGUUGUAAUGGUAGUAAUUAUCUAUGACAGUAAGUGACUUGGCGUGGAUUCGAUUCCAUCAUUCUUCUUCUUCUUUUUUGCAUUUCUAAUAUAUUUGGAUUUUAAUUUCCUUUAGUUGAAGUCCAUAUACAAAUAAUUGCGGUUAUUUAUUAUAGAACAAAAUAUAAUUAUUAAUUAAGAUUCAACCUUUUAGAUUUUAAGAAUAUAUUUAUCAUACAAUUACCAUCCAAAACAUUUAAAUGUCAUGGUUUGCAUCAGCAAUCGAAGUUAAUUAAGAAGUUUGUAUUCUGGAUAAAUAUUCCACAGUGGUCCUAAUUCCAUGUGCUAUCCAAAACAUUUUUUUUCCAGCGAAUGAAUCCACGUUCUCCUCCUAUAUAUAUAUAUAUAUAUAUAUAUAUAUAUAUAUAUAUAUAUAUAUUAUUGUUAAAUGAUUGAUAAGCUUCUCAAGUACUCAACUAUGGUGAAUCAUAGUAAAAUUAAAAAAAAAAACCUCCCCCUUGCAUGCAGGCCGAAUGAUGACAAAGGAGAGUAUAGGUCAUUGAUUUGAGAAACUUUUGAAUAAUGCAGCAAUUGGUCGAAUGAUAUUCUAACACUCCAUCAAGUCUUGAAAUUAUAUAUAAAAAAAAAUCUUUUUUAUAAGAUAAAAUAUGAGGUGUAUUAAAAAUUGUACAUUUAUCUCCCAUGUAAAUACAAAAUCCACUGUAAAAAUUAUUCUUGGAUCUCAUUUAUAAGUUAUACGACACUUCACAUCAUCACAAGAAAACAAUUUAAUAAAAAAAAUGAAAUUAUUUACAAAAUUAUCAUUUUAUUUCAAUUAAUAACUAAAAAUCCUUUGCCAUUUAAAAAAAAAAAAAAUUGUUAUUCUCCCUCUCUUAGCCAAAUCUAAUAAAAAUUUGUGUCAUCAACAUCAAUUUACAUAUUUAUCUAUUUGUUCAUCUUAAAAAUCUAAUAAAAAAACAACAAAAGUUUUCCCUAAUUUUAUUUCCGUCUUCUCUCAAGAAUUGAUGCAGUGAUGUGAUUUUAAGACGAUUGAAAAAUGUUUUUUCCCCUCGUGAUUUGGUUUCUUAAUGUUGCAUUCUUUGUUUGAAGCAGUGGGAUUUUGCCUUCUUUGAUCGGGAUAAGUCACGUUGCAAUUCAAUUUCUAGCGUACGAGGAGAUUAAGUGUUACAUGGCAAAUAGAAGUAUUGUUUACUAUCUUAUUCUUUAUAGGUUGCGAGUCAAACUUUUGUACAGUUAUGCUCGAACAAUUGUUGAUAAGUCAGUGCUUGCCUCUAUACUGACUUAAAUCCUCGCAAGGGAUGCUCUAGCAUGGCACUCCACUACAGUGAGAGUGAGAGUUCAUCUCUUAUGAAAGCUUUGUCCAUUGUUUUAAUAUCUUCAUUUCAAAUACCAGGUGGUGCGUUCAAGGCUUAAAAAAAUGUGACCCAAGUGUUCUAAUAUCAUCUUUUCUAGGUUUUUAACCCAUAAAAUAUUACCCAGAUGAUUAUGAACUGGAUUUCUUAACAACUCUGCCAUGAUAUAAUGAGAAAAGUGACUAUAUAGAUANNNNNNNNNNNNNNNNNNNNNNNNNNNNNNNNNNNNNNNNNNNNNNNNNNNNNNNNNNNNNNNNNNNNNNNNNNNNNNNNNNNNNNNNNNNNNNNNNNNNUCCAAGAGCCAGAGAUUCGGCAUUCUUAGGUUUCCUUUUCAGUAAUGGCGUGGACUAAAAUGCUGAUAAGGGCAUCCUACCCUCCCAAUAAAAACAAAUUGGUACAUCUUUCUCUUUUCUACGAGCAUUUAUAUUAAAUAUUUUUUAUUAAAAAAUAUAUAAAAAUAAUAUUUUUUAUAUAAAAAUUUAUUUUUGAUAUAAAGACAUUAAAAAAAUUUAAAAAAUAAUUUUAAAUAAAAAUAUAAAUUUUUAACAAACAAAAACAAACUCUUAAUCAUUUCUUGUAAUCUUCACUUGAUGGCUAGCUAACACAUGAGAAUGCCCCAUAAUUUAAAGCCACAUUUAUGGUUGGUUGGAUUUGAAAGUUGAGAGCCCCAUGACGGGUGCCUUCUCUCUUCUCCUACACGUCCUUUUUGCCUUCCAUUUCUUCUCAUCUGUUUAUCACUUUAUCCCUUCCCAUCUAAUUAAAUGAAUUAGCCCAUUUAGUUUCGUGUCAAGCAAUAUAAAUAUAUUUGAUUGUGGAAAAAAGCUUCCAUAAAGGGGCUGGAAGGAAGCACAGACCUCAUGAGGGGUUAGUAAAGGGUCACCAUCUUCAUGCGCUAUCGUUGGGACCAGGUUGAUGACUGUGGCCCUCCAUCUGCGUGGGCUAGCCUAUAUGUAGCCGCCUUUACUAGGUGGUCGCUCUAGCCAUGUUACCCCCUCCCCCUCUUUCUGGACCUCCGGUUGAAUGAAAUGGCUAAGCACGCACCCUUCCUGCCCCCUCGGGCAUGCAAUUGACAUCUCUUUUAUGUGCUCAGUGGUUAGAAAAAGGUUUGCACUCUUUUUUAAUUUUUUAGUUUAAAUCUCACAUCAGCAUUUUAAAAAAUUUAUUAAUUUAUAAUUAUAUAUAUAAACAUGACCUUUAUUUCAAAAUAUUUGAUUCGAUAAAAAUAUCUUUAAUCUCAAGAAUCAUCAUCUUAUCUUAUCUUAAGAAAACUUUACAUGACAAAAUAAAAAAAUACACAUACUCAAAACAUUAAUACAUGGUUAUCUAUUCCAAUGAAAGCCCAUCCAAGCAGCGGCAGAAUCAGGGGAGGCGAGCAGGGGCCCGGGUCCCUAUAAAAUAUUUUAAAUUUUUGUAUUUUUAGUGUUUAAAUAUGAGAUAAUAUAAUAUAUUUUUAUUUUAAAUAGAUAAGUUUUCUAAUAAUAAAUUAUAUCUUGAGUUUUGACCAUUUCUAUUAUAUAAUUCCAGCUCCGUCCCUGUAUGCAAAGGAAAAGAAAAGAAAGGACAAUGAAAAAAACAAUCGGCUAAACUGGGUUUUAUUAUGAUCAUGUCAUGAUUUUGUAUGUUCAUUUUAUGUGUUUUUUAUUUUUUAGUGUUUUUAAAUUAUUUUAAUAUAUUUAUAUAAAAAAUAAAAUAAAAAAAUAUUAUUUUAAAAUAUUUUAAAAUAAAAAAUAUUUUAUAAACAACCUUCAUCACAUCAUCAUAUGUAGUGAUGACUUACUCCCUCUGUUUCAUGGAUGGUGCAAUUUUUUUUUUUUUGGUCUCUCAAAAAAAAAAAGGGUUAGAUAUGCUUGAAAAAAUAGACACCCCAUUAGCUUUGUUGCUGCCAUCGCAAUAAUACGAUGUUCGCAUUCUAGCUAUGGUCACAUGCAUUGUCUAAGUAAUCAACUAAAGCCAAACAAAUUUUGCUUAAUCUUUGAUUAGACCAUAGGACCACCAUGAACAACAGUGUCAUGAACAGCUCUCGUUUUUUAAUGGCUUCUGGGACUAAUAACAGGUGUGGGUCCAAGAUGGCUCUUUAAUCACGAAGAUUAUCUUCUAAUCAUGGCGUCUGCUACUAGAAGCAAUCAAGGAGUAAGUGAUGUUUCCCACACUUAAUAUCAUUGAUUUGUAAACUUAAUCGCAACUCAAAAGAAAAAAGAGGAUCUUUUUGUGCGUGGCCUGUUUUGGAUUGGAUUGAUUGUUUUCUCAUUGGGUCAAGAGUGAAGAUGUCUGAUGGUACUUUUUCAAGCCACAUCUGUGGGGAGAUUGUAGUGGUUGGAUCUCCGAGUGCCACUGUCUAUGGAAGAAUAACAGCUGAAUCAGAAAAACACACAGCUCUGGCCCGAAGAGAACACAAUCAGCAUCUCUUGAAUUAAAUUAUUGCGAUGAAUCGACUAAUUAUCUCCGAGCGCCACUGACUGGGCAUGCCUCUCGGGUGUGGUCUCAAAUUUGCAGUGCAUGCUAUAACAGCUUUGAGAAUGGCAGUGGUGAGUGUUUUUUUAGCCCAAGAAAAGCAUGAACAAAUAUUUAUUCAUAGAAAAUUGUCAUAAUCACACCAUCCAUUGUAACAUCCGUUGUUGGUAACAUGUCAAAUUAACAGGGGUUUGAAAGUAUGAUGACGGUUGCUUUUUAAAAUAAUUUUUGCUUGAAAAAAUAUUAAAAUAAUAUUUUUUUUUAUUUUUUAAAAUUUAUUUUUAACAUUAAUAUAUCAAAACAAUAAAAAAAACACUAAAAUAUUAAAAUUUUAACGAAAAACAAGUUGAAACUCACUCUAAAACAACAACAAUAAAAUGGUUUGCAGACCAUUUUAAGCUUAUAUAUCAACAGAUAAAAUGUGGGCAUGUGUCAAUGCAUUAUUGCCUUAUUUGUAACCCAAGGUCUUCCAUUAAGGCAAUUCACAAAAAUCUCAGCACAUGCAAUGUGGUUUUUCUAAUUUGUGAAUGGACCAGCAUAUGCUUGCUAGGUAUGCUUAGUCCAUGACAUGCAAAUCAAUCCUUCUUGAUGCAAACCUUUUUUUUUUCUCAUUGUUUGACGGGUCCAAGUAAAAGAAUAUUGCAAGUGGAAGUGGACCGACUACUCACCAUCAAAAAUAUAUUUGAUCAUGUCUUGCAUUAAUGGCAAUCUGGUGGGAGGUAACGAUCCAACGGUUAACAUCAUCGGAUCAGUCUGACUCUUCGUUUUGGUAAAAUGGACUUUGGCAAUUUAUAUGUAGACGUUGACAAAAAGACUGACAGACCACAGAUGGGAAAUUGGAAUCUCCCCAAGAGAAGAGGAUAAUAAGAUAAACAUGCAACGUUGCAAUUCACAUAGCCACUAACAUAAAGACGAAAAGCAAUGGCUGUAAACCACAUUUUACAUUUUUUAUGCUCUCCCCAGUGCUUUUAUUUACAUGGGGGUGUAAACAAUUUGCUGAUAACGAACCAGAAAGAACAAUUUUCAGGUCCAAAUAGAGAGCCAUGGUUCGAGGAAAGGGCCACAUGGGUUCGGCCGGCGAAGGGAUUGGUUUGGUCUUCUUGACCCUGGCUUUGUGCAUUGCUAUCAUGUUUGAGCAAUGUCAAGGCCGCAGUGCCUAUGCAGAGCCAGCAAACUGUCUACGCCUGGAGUGUGCUCCAUAUCAGGUGAUUCACAGUCAAAAAGAUUAUGAAAUUAGAAGUUACAGAACAGCGACUUGGAUUUCUACUUCACCAGUCAACUCUAACUCGUACAAGGAUGCAGUUGGUCAUGGUUUCAACAUGUAAGCACAUCUUUCUCUCAACUUUCCUUUCAUUUAGGGCAGAUGUAUCCUUCACUGCAAGAAAUCACAAAUCGCUUUUUGUUUAUUUAACAAACCAUGGGAUGACACACGCUUUUCUUUGUUUAAUAAAUACUGUAAAAGGGGUUUAGAGUGUAUUUAUUUUUGUGUUUAAAAAUCGUUUUUGAAAUAUAUUUUUUUUACUUUAAAAUAAUUUUUUUUACUUUAAUAUUAAAAAUAAAUUUUGAAAAAUAAAAAAAUCAUCUUAAUAUAUUUUUAUUUUAAAAGGCAACCACUUAUUCCCUAUCACUGUCUUAAUUUUAACGUUUGCUAUUUAUCUAUAAUUUAUUUUAUAGGUGUUCUCCUAGCAUAGGUCCAGACUUUAAUUUAAGUAUAAGAGAAGCUCUUGAGAUUUAAUAUUUUAAUUUUAAUAAUAAGCUAAUCAUUUGCCACACACAACCACCAGGUGGAUGGAUUAUGGAAUAUCACUGACCAAUUCUCCUACACUUUAAAAUUACAAUCUCGUCCAUGCUUAUUUGCCCCUUUAAGAAUUUAUUUAAUGAUUUCAUGCUUAUUAUGGCGCCUGUGAAGCCUCGCUACGUAUAUUCAAGGAAACAAUGAUCAGGCAGCAAACAUCAACAUGACAGCUCCAGUUUUGGUAGAUAUGUUUUCAUCAACCGCGAGUUCCCGCAACACAACCUUUACUGUGCACCUCUAUUUGCCACAAAAGUACCAAAAUAACCCUCCUCUCUCCCGUCAAGUACAUCCAGUGAAGCUGCCUAAACACCGCCAUGCAGCUGUGAAGAGGUUUGGAGGUUUUAUGAACGACACCAACAUCCCUGGACAAGUUUUGGCGU
rnacentral:lncRNA from 1 species